ACAAUGAAGAGUUUGAUCCUGUCUCAGGAUGAACGCUAGCUACAGGCUUAACACAUGCAAGUCGAGGGGCAGCAUGAGAUCAGCUUGCUGAUUUUGAUGGCGACCGGCGCACGGGUGAGUA
rnacentral:rRNA from 1 species